rnacentral:lncRNA from 1 species
UGGGCCCGGACCAGUUAGAGGGUCUUCUUCUUUCCCCGCACGACUCGCUCGCCCGCACACCGGCCACGGGGGAAUCCGGGGGUGGUUGUGCUAGUCAUGCAUACCGGACCUCCCCUUGCCCCUCCGAUUCGCUCCACGCCAGCACCUAGGAACUUGGGCCAGAGCUUGGUGUUCCGCUAUUCGCAACCGCAAAGGAGAGCUUGAAGACACCACCGCACCCGUAUUUGGUCUGUGGUGCCGUUCGGCUCCCCGGAUGUGGGUAGAGCGCAUCGUUUGCGAGUGAGGGACCUGGACAGGGCGACUCCAGGGGCGGUGAACCGGUGAGUCUCUGUUAAUUGCUCGCUGACGACACAUCGCCACCGCGGGUCUGCGCUACACCGUGGAUAGGGCCUCGCAUCGCGUGAUUCAUGGUAAGGACUCCUUCCCCCGACUCGCGUUCAUCUCUAUUUCGUGUAGCCUCGUCCGAAUCUGGGUUUUGGGGGCACCAGUGCCAUUGGUGGCUUCCGCUGGCCAUGGCCGCCGCCGGGGUGGGUCUGCGAUGUGGCCUGUGCCACCAGGAGGGCAGGGAUGAUGUCUAGGUCGCUUGAUGCGAAAGCAAGGGCCAAGAUUAGAUCUCCGCA